ensembl:lncRNA
AAAGGGCCCUCAAAAACACAAUCCUUCCUCGGCCAGAAGCAGAGAGACUGAGAACAUGAUUCCUCUCCUUCUCUAGCGUAUGUUUGCUGAAGGCCUUCACAUCUGCCCAGCUUGGACCUGCAGGAGGGAAAGUGAGAGACAGUCUCCUGGUUCCCUGAGGGCCGAUGUUCUGAAAGGUGCCCACACACCCAAGACCCUGCUUUGAUGGAAUUUUCAAGGUACAAGAGGAUCACCGACAUAGGGACCUACACAGUGAUUUCUGCCCCAGCCUUGGUGUGGGAGUUCAGCAGACAGGAGAGAAAGGGUGCCGGAAGCAUGGGAAGAGGACGUCCAAAUGCACAGAGAUGGGAAUGCCAGCGGUGCCUGGACCGCCACAAGACGUUCCACGCUGCUGACGGGCAGGCGUUCUAGAGCCCAGUGUCCUUUCAGCCACUCACAUUAGAAGCUCUCUGAGGCUCUGAGUCUGAGAUGAAUCACUCAACCCCUCUGUGCCUCAGUUUCCUCAUCUGUAAAACUGGAAGAAAAAUAGUUCCUGUCUCAGGAAUUGUGGGCAGUAAGUAGGACAAUACACUCAGGAGAUGGCAGACCUCCCAGCCAGAAACUCAGAGGAUGCCAGUGCCAUCCUGGCACCAUUCACAGCUCGCUCCAUGGUCCUGGGAAAACGACGGAAUUCCCCAGCACACUCAUCACCCCGUUGCCAGAAGAGAAACAAUAAAAUCCGCUUCCCAGAGAGCCGAGGGAAUUAAUGAC